UGGACAUUCCCUGUGCUGGUGGAUGGACCAUUUGGGGUUGUUACAGCUGCGGAAAUGAUUGGCGUUAUAAUCUUCUCGGUCUACAUCGUCUGGGCUGUAGUUAUGUAUAGUAUACAGAAUGUUGACAUCUUAUCUUUGUAUCAUUUACCAGACAUGAAAGAGAGAAGUGCUAAGUUGCUGGAGCUGACAGGUCUCCGUUUUGGAUUCAUUGGAUUAAUCUGCUUAGCGUUUUUGUUUCUGCCUGUUGCACGUGGUUCAGUUCUUCUUCGAGCCAUAGAUAUCCCUUUUGAACAUGCCACUAGAUAUCAUGUUUGGCUGGGACAUCUUACUAUGGCUAUUUUUAGCCUUCAUGGUCUAUUCUAUAUUAUUGGCUGGGCAAUUCAAGGGAGACUUUUGGAAGAACUAGUCGGCUGGAAAAACAUAGGAAUAGCCAAUCUUCCAGGAGUUAUCAGCCUUUUAGCUGGUUUAUUGAUGUGGUUGACUUCACUUCCUG
rnacentral:misc_RNA from 1 species